UACGGGGGGGGCAAGCGUUGUUCGGAAUUACUGGGCGUAAAGGGCUCGUAGGCGGCCAACUAAGUCAGACGUGAAAUCCCCCGGCUUAACCAGGGAACUGCGUCUGAUACUGGAUGGCUUGAGUUUGGGAGAGGGAUGCGGAAUUCCAGGUGUAGCGGUGAAAUGCGUAGAUAUCUGGAGGAACACCGGUGGCGAAGGCGGGUCUCUGGGCCGAUACUGACGCUGAGGUGCGAAAGCGUGGGGAGCAAACAGG
rnacentral:rRNA from 1 species